AAGCUAGGUGGGCUGCAUAAUCAAAAUUCCCGGACGAGUGGUGAAAAUCUCAAAGAGGAAUUAAGUUGGGCCAUGCUUUUGUCUUAAGUCUCCAUCUCUCAAGAACUUUUUCCCCUCCUAGUCUGACUAUUUUGCAUGCAAAUUGCAGUGCUCACAGAGAUUAUAUUGCAGUCCCCGCUCCCUCAGAACUGUAGCUUAAUCUCUGUGAGCA